UUUGUCUCGCUCAACCCGGGUCAAACCCGGGUACGACGAAGGGUCAGUCGGAAGUCAGCCAUCCAGAAUGGGAGCGGAGUCACAAUGUCAGAAGUCAUUGCCUUAAUGCGGUAGGCAAUGUGUCAGUCAUGGAUUGGAGGAUAUGUGAUUGAACUCGCUACCGAAGAGGAGGAGUCGGGAGCUGCAGCCACAGAGCCAUCACUACACCUGGAGAACAUCCCUUACAGCACAGCACAGCACAAGCACUGCGAUCCCAGAGACAAGAAGCACAGUUUUGUGCACGGAGGAUUGUGGUUUAGCAGUGUUUUUGUUUAUUUGUCAAGACUAUAAAAACCUGUCAUGUUCCCCCCGAUACCACUGCUAAUAGAGGAGUGUUUUAUUAUUUUGUGUUCUGAAAAUAAAACACAGACUGUUUUGGAGAGAACAUUUGUCUGGAUUUUCCCUUGUUAUUACACCACUCACCAUCCUGUCAAAGUGUUAUAGCAAAUAACAGAAGUGUAUUAUAACAGUCAUAUUAUUUCUAAUCAUACUACAUAAUAGCACAGCUACUAACGUGUUUAUAGAUUGUUUAUAACCACUUAUAACAGAUACUAAAGUGUUACCGGCUGUCCUUCUUAGAAAUUUACAUUUUUUUUUUUACCAUUGGGGACCACAAAUAGCAUUACUCUCACCAACCAGUAUC